GACGAACGCUGGCGGCGUGCUUAACACAUGCAAGUCGAGCGGUAAGGCCCUUUCGGGGGUACACGAGCGGCGAACGGGUGAGUAACACGUGGGUGACCUGCCCUUAGCUCUGGGAUAAGCCUGGGAAACUGGGUCUAAUACCGGAUAUGACUCCAUGACGCAUGUUGUGGGGUGGAAAGCCUUGUGCGGCUAGGGAUGGGCCCGCGGCCUAUCAGCUUGUUGGUGGGGUGAUGGCCACCAAGGCGACGACGGGUAGCCGGCCUGAGAGGGCGACCGGCCACACUGGGACUGAGACACGGCCCAGACUCCUACGGGAGGCAGCAGGUGGGGAAUCUUGCGCAAUGGGCGAAAGCCUGACGCAGCGACGCCGCGUGAGGGAUGAC
rnacentral:rRNA from 1 species